GAUGAAGAACGCAGCGAAAUGCGAUACUUGGUGUGAAUUGCAGAAUCCCGUGAACCAUCGAGUCUUUGAACGCAAGUUGCGCCUCAAGCCAUUAGGUUGAGGGCACGUCUGCCUGGGCGUCACAUAUCGUUGCCUGAUGCCAGUUUCCUCGUGAUGGGUGACUGUGCAGGGCGAAUGAUGGCUUCCCGUGAGCAUUGUUGCCUCAUGGUUGGUUGAAAAUUGAGUCCUUGGUAGGGAGCGCCGUGAUAGAUGGUGGUUGAGUGACGAACGAGACCCAAUCAUGUGAGACCCCUACCGAAUUUGGCCUUCAUGACCCACAUGCGUCUUUGGAACGCUCAUGACGAGACCUCAGGUCAGGCGGGACUACCCGCUGAGUUUAAGCAUAUCAAUAAGCGGAGGA
rnacentral:misc_RNA from 1 species